UUGGAGGGCAAGUCUGGUGCCAGCAGCCGCGGUAAUUCCAGCUCCAAUAGCGUAUAUUAAAGUUGUUGCAGUUAAAAAGCUCGUAGUUGAAUUUCGGGAUCAAGGGAUCGGUCAUGCCUUGGUAUGUACUGGUCUUAUUGGUUCUCACCUUCUAAAGAACCAUGAUGUCAUUCAUUUGAUGUUAUGGGGAAUUAGGACUGUUACCUUGAAAAAAUUAGAGUGUUUAAAGCAAGCUUACGCUUGAAUACAUUAGCAUGGAAUAAUGAAAUAGGACAUCAGAUUCUAUUUUGUUGGUUUCUAGGAUCGAUGUAAUGAUUAAUAGGGAUAGUUGGGGGCAUUAGUAUUCAAUUGUCAGAGGUGAAAUUCUUGGAUUUAUUGAAGACUAACUACUGCGAAAGCAUUUGCCAAGGAUGUUUUCAUUAAUCAAGAACGAUAGUUAGGGGAUCGAAGACGAUCAGAUACCGUCGUAGUCUUAACCAUAAACUAUGCCGACUAGGGAUCGGAUGAUGUUAAUUUUUUAAUGACUCAUUCGGCGCCUUACGGGAAACCAAAGUGUUUGGGUUC
rnacentral:rRNA from 1 species